GGCGACGCGUGGUGAUUCCCGGCAGGGAUAUAUCGACAUAACGAGUAUUUAAUAACCAUUUAAUCUAUUUAAGUUACGACGAGUAAGUAAAGUAGAGAUAGCCCAUUAAAGUGUGUAGCAAAGCGGAGCAGAGUAUAUUGCUUCCGUCCAUCCGUGAAACUGUUCGUGUUUGUUCGUACAACCGCUGUGGGUGGAUGGAUGACGAAGGAAACGACGACGACAACGUAAAGAUGGCGAGGCGGCGCUAGUAGAAAUACCAAUCAUUUCGCGCCAUGAGUCGGCUGGUUCCCAUUGCCAGUGAGGAUACCGUGGCCUGUUGUAAACAUUGAUCUUAACAAGUUGUAUCUGGGUAACCCUUCCAAUAUUCACCACCCCCGACAAGUCUCCUACCCAACCCGAGCUUGUGAUUACGCUGGCAUCAGCAUAUAGCUAGUGGGAACCAUUCUUUCCCCGCUUACAAUCUGUACACCAGUGAAGAUGUUCCUGCCAACGGAUGACGAGUGUGCUGCUGACGGCCAGCGACGGGAACAAUUAUUAAACCAUUUUCUUUCUACUCUGCCGGGCGGUGCAGUCCGAUUUUUGGCACCAAAGCUUCCGUCGCUUACUGAUAGCAGUGCACCACUGUGGAAAAUCACUUCAUACACCCGAUUCGACGGACAUUGUACCUGGAAAGGGCGGAACAACAGCGGUUACCUUGUUUCAACCAGAGCGAGUUCGGUCCGCUGGUGCAUGCCCAGUCGCGGUCCAAGCAAGGCCGAAGGUGCUGACGAAGGUUGAGCAGUAGUAUU